UGGGCACUCUAAGGAGACUGCCGGUGACAAACCGGAGGAAGGUGGGGAUGACGUCAAGUCAUCAUGGCCCUUACGGCCAGGGCUACACACGUGCUACAAUGGUCGGUACAAAGGGUUGCCAAGCCGCGAGGUGGAGCUAAUCCCAUAAAACCGAUCGUAGUCCGGAUCGCAGUCUGCAACUCGACUGCGUGAAGUCGGAAUCGCUAGUAAUCGUGAAUCAGAAUGUCACGGUGAAUACGUUCCCGGGCCUUGUACACACCGCCCGUCACACCAUGGGAGUGGGUUGCUCCAGAAGUAGCUAGUCUAACCGCAAGGGGGACGGUUACCACGGAGUGAUUCAUGACUGGGGUGAAGUCGUAACAAGGUAGCCGUAGGGGAACCUGCGGCUGGAUCACCUCCUUA
rnacentral:rRNA from 1 species